rnacentral:rRNA from 1 species
GAUGAACGCUAGCGGCAGGCUUAAUACAUGCAAGUCGAGGGGUAGCAAGAUUGUAGCAAUACAAUUGUUGACGACCGGCAAGCGGGUGCGGAACACGUACACAACCUUCCUACAAGUGGGGAAUAGCCCAGAGAAAUUUGGAUUAAUACCCCGUAACAUAGCGAUGUGGCAUCACAUUGCUAUUAUAGCUUCGGCGCUUGUUGAUGGGUGUGCGGCUGAUUAGAUAGUUGGCGGGGUAACGGCCCACCAAGUCUACGAUCAGUAGCUGAUGUGAGGGCAGGAUCAGCCACACGGGCACUGAGACACGGGCCCGACUCCUACGGGAGGCAGCAGUAAGGAAUAUUGGACAAUGGACGCAAGUCUGAUCCAGCCAUGCCGCGUGAAGGAUUAAGGUCCUCUGGAUUGUAAACUUCUUUUAUAAGGGACGAAAAAAGGUCUUUCUAGAUCGUCUGACGGUACCUUAUGAAUAAGCACCGGCUAACUCCGUGCCAGCCGCCGCAGUAAAAC